UACGAAGGGGGCUAGCGUUGUUCGGAAUCACUGGGCGUAAAGCGCGCGUAGGCGGAUUGUUAAGUCAGGGGUGAAAUGCCGAGGCUCAACCUCGGAACUGCCUUUGAUACUGGCAAUCUUGAGUCCGGGAGAGGUGAGUGGAACUCCUAGUGUAGAGGUGAAAUUCGUAGAUAUUAGGAAGAACACCAGUGGCGAAGGCGGCUCACUGGACCGGUAUUGACGCUGAGGUGCGAAAGCGUGGGGAGCAAACAGG
rnacentral:rRNA from 1 species